rnacentral:rRNA from 1 species
AGCGAACGCUGGCGGCAGGCCUAACACAUGCAAGUCGAACGAAGUCUUCGGACUUAGUGGCGGACGGGUGAGUAACACGUGGGAACGUACCUUUUGGUUCGGAACAACUCAGGGAAACUUGAGCUAAUACCGGAUGAGCCCUUAGGGGGAAAGAUUUAUCGCCGAAAGAGCGGCCCGCGUUAGAUUGGCUAGUUAGGGAGGUAAAGGCUGACCAAGGCUACGAGGUAUAGCUGGACUGAGAGGAUGAUCAGCCACACUGGGACUGAGACACGGCCCAGACUCCUACGGGAGGCAGCUGUGGGGAAUCUUGCGCAAUGGGCGAAAGCCUGACGAAGCCAUGCCGCGUGAAUGAUGAAGGUCUUAGGACUGUAAAAUUCUUUUACCAGGGACGAUAAUGACGGUACCUGGAGAAAAAGCCCCGGCUAACUACGUGCCAGCAGCCGCGGUAACAC